GCUGGGCAUGGUGGCACCUGCCUGUAACCCUAGCAGCCGGGAGGCUGAGGCAGGAGGAUUGCGAAUACAAAGUCAGCCUUAGCAACAGCAAGGCACUGAGCAACUCAGUAAGACUCUGUCUCUU
rnacentral:sRNA from 1 species